rnacentral:rRNA from 1 species
UAUACAUGCAGUCGUACGCUUCUUUUUCCACCGGAGCUUGCUCCACCGGAAAAAGAAGAGUGGCGAACGGGUGAGUAACACGUGGGUAACCUGCCCAUCAGAAGGGGAUAACACUUGGAAACAGGUGCUAAUACCGUAUAACAAUCGAAACCGCAUGGUUUUGAUUUGAAAGGCGCUUUCGGGUGUCGCUGAUGGAUGGACCCGCGGUGCAUUAGCUAGUUGGUGAGGUAACGGCUCACCAAGGCCACGAUGCAUAGCCGACCUGAGAGGGUGAUCGGCCACAUUGGGACUGAGACACGGCCCAAACUCCUACGGGAGGCAGCAGUAGGGAAUCUUCGGCAAUGGACGAAAGUCUGACCGAGCAACGCCGCGUGAGUGAAGAAGGUUUUCGGAUCGUAAAACUCUGUUGUUAGAGAAGAACAAGGAUGAGAGUAACUGUUCAUCCCUUGACGGUAUCUAACCAGAAAGCCACGGCUAACUACGUGCCAGCAGCCGCGGUAAUACGUAGGUGGCAAGCGUUGUCCGGAUUUAUUGGGCGUAAAGCGAGCGCAGGCGGUUUCUUAAGUCUGAUGUGAAAGCCCCCGGCUCAACCGGGGAGGGUCAUUGGAAACUGGGAGACUUGAGUGCAGAAGAGGAGAGUGGAAUUCCAUGUGUAGCGGUGAAAUGCGUAGAUAUAUGGAGGAACACCAGUGGCGAAGGCGGCUCUCUGGUCUGUAACUGACGCUGAGGCUCGAAAGCGUGGGGAGCAAACAGGAUUAGAUACCCUGGUAGUCCACGCCGUAAACGAUGAGUGCUAAGUGUUGGGAGGGUUUCCGCCCUUCAGUGCUGCAGCUAACGCAUUAAGCACUCCGCCUGGGGAGUACAACCGCAAGGUUGAA